UACGGAGGGUGCGAGCGUUGUCCGGAAUCAUUGGGCGUAAAGAGCGUGUAGGCGGCCCGGUAAGUCCGCUGUGAAAGUCGGGGGCUCAACCCUCGAAUGCCGGUGGAUACUGUCGGGCUAGAGUGCGGAAGAGGCGAGUGGAAUUCCUGGUGUAGCGGUGAAAUGCGCAGAUAUCAGGAGGAACACCGAUUGCGAAGGCAGCUCGCUGGGACGUCACUGACGCUGAGACGCGAAAGCGUGGGGAGCAAACAGG
rnacentral:rRNA from 1 species